rnacentral:siRNA from 1 species
UGGCCACAAAAUAUUGCAUUGC